UACAGAGGUCUCAAGCGUUGUUCGGAUUCAUUGGGCGUAAAGGGUGCGUAGGUGGCGCUGUAAGUCGGGUGUGAAAUUUCGGAGCUUAACUCCGAAACUGCAUUCGAUACUGCGGUGCUUGAGGACUGGAGAGGAGACUGGAAUUCAUGGUGUAGCAGUGAAAUGCGUAGAGAUCGAGAGGAACACCAGUGGCGAAGGCGAGUCCCUGGACAACUCCUGACGCUGAGGCACGAAAGCUAGGGGAGCAAACAGG
rnacentral:rRNA from 1 species